GAGAAAAGAAACUAACAAGGAUUCCCCUAGUAACGGCGAGUGAAGCGGGAUGAGCUCAAAUUUAAAAUCUGGCUGGUUUACCAGUCCGAGUUGUAGUUUAAAGAAGCGUUUUCGGUGGCAGUCUCGGUAUAAAUCCUUUGGAAUAGGGUAUCAUAGAGGGUGAGAAUCCCGUCUUUGACUGAGAAUAUGCUACUAUGUGAUACGUUUUCAAAGAGUCGAGUUGUUUGGGAAUGCAGCUCAAAAUGGGUGGUAAAUUUCAUCUAAAGCUAAAUAUUGGCGAGAGACCGAUAGCGAACAAGUACCGUGAGGGAAAGAUGAAAAGAACUUUGAAAAGAGAGUUAAACAGUGCGUGAAAUUGUUGAAAGGGAAACGCUUGAAACCAGUCAUGCGGUUGGGAAAUCAGUCUCUGACGGGGGGGAAUGGGGGAGUUGUGGACCGCAAGGCCGCUCUUUUUCAUAUCUCUUUUGGCAGGGAUGCACUUUUUCUUCUGCAGGUCAACAUCAGUUUGCUUUGCCGGACAAAACUUGGGGGAAGGUGACAGCUUAGGCUGUGUUAUAGCCCUCGAGCGAUACGGUGGAGCGGACUGAGGUUUUCGCAGCAUGUGCUCUCGGGCAAGGCUGAUUGGGUGCUAUGAGAUCGUUCAGGGUACAAUACAUGUAUUUUGCUCUGUGUCCUUUUUAUACUCGCUCAACUCGGCUCUUCCAUGCUUAGGAUGUUGACAUAAUGGUUUUAAUCGACCCGUCUUGAAACACGGACCAAGGAGUCUAACAUAUAUGCAAGUGUUUGGGUGGCAAACCCAUGCGCGUAAUGAAAGUGAACGUAGGUGCGAUCCGCAAGGUGCAGCAUCGACCGAUCUUGAUAUUUUUGGAUAGAUUUGAGUAAGAGCAUAUAUGCUGGGACCCGAAAGAUGGUGAACUAUGCCUGAAUAGGGUGAAGCCAGAGGAAACUCUGGUGGAGGCUCGUAGCGAUUCUGACGUGCAAAUCGAUCGUCAAAUUUGGGUAUAGGGGCGAAAGACUAAUCGAACCAUCAGAGUGCAC
rnacentral:rRNA from 1 species